rnacentral:rRNA from 1 species
UACGUAGGAGGCAAGCGUUUGUCCGGAAUUACUGGGCGUAAAGCGCGUGUAGGUGGUGGGACAAGUCUGCUGUGAAAGCGCCUGGCUUAACCGGGCGAGGUCGGCGGAAACUGUCCGACUUGAGGACGGUAGAGGGGGGUGGAAUUCCCGGUGUAGUGGUGAAAUGCGUAGAGAUCGGGAGGAACACCUGUGGCGAAGGCGGCCCCCUGGGCCGGCCCUGACACUGAGACGCGAAGGCGUGGGGAGCGAACGGG